rnacentral:misc_RNA from 1 species
AAUCGGGCAAAGGUUUCCCAAUUAAGCUGGGAAACCGAGGGGGGGAAGGGGCAUAAUCAAAAAAAGGCGGGAAAAGGGGCCUUCGGAGCCCUGGCAAGGCCCUCCAAACCCACGGUUUUGUUUAAGGCCUUCAUUUGCCUCGGGUCUCGACGCCCUUUACGGGGCGCCGCCGUCGGCCUUCAAGCGCUUUCGAGUGCCCGCCGCCAGGCCCAAUCUAAAAUUCUUUGUAAACCCAGUCUUUCUGAGAGUAAAUUUAAUACUUCAAAA